UUAUAAAAAACAUUGACUUGCUGAGACGAUCGUGUGGGUGUAAACAGAAACACAGGGACUCACCUCCACAAUGUGAUGAACGUGAACUUGAGAAUCUGGCUCCUGAAGCUCAGCCCUCAGGGUCUUAGCAGAAAAGCAGAACGUACGGCGGUUUGGUGUUCUGGAGCACUCGGGUGUAUCUCUACAUCACGCUGAGAAGAAAGGACAUCAUCCAUGACCUGAACAGAUUGAACGCACUUGUCUGAUCACCUAAAUGGUAAAUGGUGCACUUAUAUAGCGCUUUUAUCCAAAGCGCUUUACACUGUGUCUCAUUCACCCAUUCACACACACACACCAAUGGUAGCAGAGCUGCCAUGCAAGGCGUUAACUUGCCAUCGGGAGCAACUUGGGGUUCAGUGUCUUAUCAAGGACACUUUAGCAUGUGGAGUCAUGUGGGCCAGGAAUCAAACCACCAACCUUACGAUUAGUGGACAACCCGCUCUACCACCUGAGCCACAGCCGCCCAGGGAUUGUUUUAAAGAUGCUUGUAAUGUGUUGUAUUUAAAUAUUUUUUACGAUCUUUUGUGUGACACUUAAAUGUGAAUUUCUUGUUUUCAUGUUUGCGCCUCCUGUAGAAUAGUUUUUAUUAUCUAAUUGCUAGAUAUAUAUAGAUAUGAUUGGAUUUAUUCAUUUAUCACCUGUUUUGAGACAUUUUAUUUUAUUGUUUAAUCAUCUGAAUCAUGUUUCAUCACCUGAAUCUACAACACAAUAGUCUGUUAUUAGAAAGCCAUAUGUAUAUAAAACCCGUUUAUUGCAUCUUUUGGAUGCUCAGAGUUUAUAUUUAUAUUCAGUACACAUAAAUCAGAUGACAUAUUAUAUAAGAGUGAUGCUGGAAAGGUAUUAUAAGUAAUGCAUUUCUAUAAUUGUAUAUAACAUUUCUUUAUUAUUUUUGUUUAGUUUAUUAUUUUUGUUUAGUUCUUUUGCAUUUCAAGAGUUUAGUCUGAUUGCAGCGAGAGGAAACAUGGCGUGCUGUAUGUUAAAACAAUGAGAAUUCUUUUUCUUUCUUUCUUUAAAA